UGUGGCCCUGCAUGGAUAGGGCAGCAUUGCUGUGCCCUCUUAUGUUGGCCCAGAGGCCAUCCAAAACUUCCAGCUCUUACUACUCUAUUACAUAGAUGACCAUUCAUAACACAGCCUUAUUCACAUUGAAAGCUGGAGAAACUUCUGGGUGUGCUAAAGUAAUGCCUUGGAAUGCCACAGAGCUCUUGGAAACCAGAAGGGUGGCACACGGCUGCCAGAGUGUGUCUUGUGUGGACUAGGAGAAGUCAGCUGAAAUGGUAUGAUUUUCUUUCCUUUUAAAAUCAUUAUUGUAGGCAGUUAGAAAAAAACCCUCUAUAUUCUGUGUGCUGAGAUAUUGAUCUAACUUCUAAAUCCCUCUAACCUGAUUAAGGCCUUAAGAAUUUCAACUAUUGAAAAAUAAGAUUUUUUUUUCAUCUAAAUAUCUCAAGCUUAACAUCCCUAGUGCAGCCUGAGUCUUUCCCUGAGAAAUUCAAGCAGCUCAGCCUGUAGGGAUCAUUCAUCCCUACCAAAGGCUUUAACAUAUGUUUGUAUGCAAAUAUAGUUUACAUAUAUAUUAAGCUUUUAUACGUAUAUGUAAAUGUAGAUUAUGUGUAUGGCAGUUUGCAGCCAAUCUCGAGAAGGGAUUUUCUUGGUACCUUUUCAUGGUACGUAGUUGGGCAAACAAAGCCUGAUCUGACCCAGGCAGUUUCGAGAUGUCUGUUAUCCUUGUCAUCCUUGGGAUCACACCUUCCCUAAAGGGAGUUUGAAGCUGGGGCAUAUGGGGGUGAUUGCAAAGAUGCACCUUCCUCUGUGGUGACUUUCACUUUAUAGCACAGGCUGGAGCAGCUGUUAGUGCAGAAGAGAGGAGAUCCAGAGCUCUGGUAAAUGCUCAUGGCACACACCCUUCCACUGGAAGGGAGUGUUGCAACUUCCA
rnacentral:lncRNA from 13 species